GACGAACGCUGGCGGCGUGCCUAAUACAUGCAAGUUGAGCGAUGAUGCUUGGUGCUUGCACCAAUUUGAAGAGCAGCGAACGGGUGAGUAACGCGUGGGGAAUCUGCCUUUGAGCGGGGGACAACAUUUGGAAACGAAUGCUAAUACCGCAUAACAACUUUAAACAUAAGUUUUAAGUUUGAAAGAUGCAAUUGCAUCACUCAAAGAUGAUCCCGCGUUGUAUUAGCUAGUUGGUGAGGUAAAGGCUCACCAAGGCGAUGAUACAUAGCCGACCUGAGAGGGUGAUCGGCCACAUUGGGACGGAGACACGGCCCAAACGCCUACGGGAGGCAGCAGUAGGGAAUCUUCGGCAAUGGACGAAAGUCUGGCCGAGCAACGCUGCGUGAGUGAAGAAGGUUGUCGGAUCGGAAAACUCUGUUGGUAGAGAAGAACGUUGGUGAGAGUGGAAAGCUCAUCAAGUGACGGUAACUACCCAGAAAGGGACGGCUAACUACGUG
rnacentral:rRNA from 1 species